GAUGAACGCUGGCGGCGUGCUUAACACAUGCAAGUCGAACGGGAAACCUUUUAUUGAAGCUUCGGCAGAUUUAGCUGGUUUCUAGUGGCGGACGGGUGAGUAACGCGUGGGUAACCUGCCUUAUACAGGGGGAUAACAACCAGAAAUGGUUGCUAAUACCGCAUAAGCGCACAGGACCGCAUGGUCCGGUGUGAAAAACUCCGGUGGUAUAAGAUGGACCCGCGUUGGAUUAGCUAGUUGGCAGGGUAACGGCCUACCAAGGCGACGAUCCAUAGCCGGCCUGAGAGGGUGAACGGCCACAUUGGGACUGAGACACGGCCCAGACUCCUACGGGAGGCAGCAGUGGGGAAUAUUGCACAAUGGGGGAAACCCUGAUGCAGCGACGCCGCGUGAAGGAAGAAGUAUCUCGGUAUGUAAACUUCUAUCAGCAGGGAAGAUAGUGACGGU
rnacentral:rRNA from 1 species